rnacentral:rRNA from 1 species
CAGCAGUGGGGAAUAUUGCACAAUGGGGGAAACCCUGAUGCAGCCAUGCCGCGUGUAUGAAGAAGGCCUUCGGGUUGUAAAGUACUUUCAGUAGGGAGGAAGGCAGUGUCGUUAAUAGCGGCAUUGUUUGACGUUACCUACAGAAGAAGCACCGGCUAACUCCGUGCCAGCAGCCGCGGUAAUACGGAGGGUGCGAGCGUUAAUCGGAAUUACUGGGCGUAAAGCGCAUGCAGGCGGUCUGUUAAGCAAGAUGUGAAAGCCCGGGGCUCAACCUCGGAACAGCAUUUUGAACUGGCAGACUAGAGUCUUGUAGAGGGGGGUAGAAUUUCAGGUGUAGCGGUGAAAUGCGUAGAGAUCUGAAGGAAUACCGGUGGCGAAGGCGGCCCCCUGGACAAAGACUGACGCUCAGAUGCGAAAGCGUGGGGAGCAAACAGGAUUAGAUACCCUGGUAGUCCACGCCGUAAACGAUGUCUACUUGGAGGUUGUGGCCUUGAGCCGUGGCUUUCGGAGCUAACGCGUUAAGUAGACCGCCUGGGGAGUACGGUCGCAAGAUUAAAACUCAAAUGAAUUGACGGGGGCCCGCACAAGCGGUGGAGCAUGUGGUUUAAUUCGAUGCAACGCGAAGAACCUUACCUACUCUUGACAUCCAGAGAAC